rnacentral:lncRNA from 1 species
AUGGGGUGGGGCCGGCGGUGCCCGCUGGUUCCCGGGACCUUCUGGGAGGCGGGUGCCCGGCUCACUUUCCGUGGGGGAAGCUGCAGAGGCUUUUCUGUCGAGAGGCAGAAAGACGCCAUGAAUAUUUCAUUAGGGAAGCAAUGUGUCGGCCGCGAGCAACAUCUGGCGGAGUCUCCAGGGAGCUGGGAGCCGCGCAGGAGCAGGACUGUGAAACGCGGAGGCGGAGGGGGCCAGGAGCCGCGGAGGCAGUGGGGGGCCAGCCUCUGCCACUCAGGCCGGCUCUCCCCCUUGCUCCAGCAGCCCCCUCCCUCUGUUUCCGUGGACAAAGGCCUGCUGGCAUGGGGCAGAAGUCCUGGGCCAGCUUCCUCAUGUCCCCUCACAGCACGGCUCGCACUGCCCACCCUGCCCCACCCAGGGCCAUGGCCAAGUCAGAGCCACUCGGAGAGCAGGGGACCCAGAGAGGGUCUAGACCUGGGGUCUGAAUCUCUGGGGCUGGGGGCGGACCAGGGAGCAGAGAGUGCCCCCCUGGAGCUUGAUGGGGCGGCGGGCUGUGCAAUAGGGCUGUGGGGGUCCCUGCAUCCCAUUGCUGGGGCACGGUGGACAGUCAUGGCUGCCACAGCCCCUUGGGUUCUGAAACCCCAUGCCAGGUGCUCAGAGCAGGGUCCUGCUUAUGGGGGUAUCAGGGUGGGCGAUGGGGAGUCUUGGGAGCCAGAGACGGAAGGACUCUGCUGGUCUCGAAGACCUGAGAAAACCUCGGCCAGCACCAGGGCAUGGUCCCGCCCGAAGAGCCAGGAAGCUCUCUGCAGGAUGACCUGGUCCACACCAGCCUUUGUGCCGAGGGGCGCCUGCCCCCCUCAGCCCACUAGACAGGCCUGCAGACCUUGGCCACCCCCGCUGAGUGCAGAGCCCAGCCAGCACCCAGUGCGCCCAGAGACCCAGAGAGUGCUGCCCACCGGUGCUCUGAGGGGCAGGCUGCCCUCCUCAGAAACCCCCUAUCACCCACCUGGCCAAGCGGAUGGCCUGUUGCCGGGGGCCCCUUUCCUCCACCCGAGCGACUUCGCAGCUGGGCCUCUGCCAGGGGUCUGA